UCACCUAGGGAAACCCCCUCGCAUUGUAUUGAGUGAGCCAGUAAUACAUCUGUUCCCUCCGGGACAGGACUCUGUCCGGAGAUAGAUGCCCCCCUUCCUUGGCUUCCAGUGCCCAGGGGUCUCUCCCCCUUGGCAGGAGUCAUUGUCUCCUUUUGGC
rfam:Myotis brandtii contig225839, whole genome shotgun sequence.